UGAUUGAGAACUGCGUAGAAUGACAGGCCCAUAGCCCUGGCUGGGCUGCGCGCGCCGAGGCGCGUCGAAUCACCAAAGAAAGCCCUUGGGCCUCGGCCCAGCUGCGCGAGAGGAAGGAAGGAGCUGGUUCCUAAAAAAAAAAAAAAGAGACAGGAGAGGAGGAGGAGCACGGUGGGGGAGGAGACGCCGCAUCUCCGGCGGGAGGAGGAGGUGGCGCAACCUUCUUCCUCCCCCCACCACCCUCUUCCCGGCCUCACAUUUGGAGCCAGUACGGGCUCGGGCGGCAGAUAUGGACGGCGUCACGACGGCGGCUUAGCGCGUGAGGCCGUCCGGGCGGAGCGCGGGAGCGAGAGCUUCUCAAAGCGCUGAUGUUUGUCGUCCAGAGAAGCUGUCCGUUGGUGUCUGACAACGCAAGAUCGGAUUCGCUUGUGAACGCGAGUGUUGCAGAAGAAGGAUCAGUUAUGGGCAUGGCACGGUUGGCAACCCACACACAGUUGUCUUCGGGUAUGUUCUUGUACCAUAUGCCGACGUAGUAAUGUUUUGUGCUGGAGCUGGACAGGGAGAAGAAUCCCAGGGCAAAAGUGCCGUCAUCGGAGGUGAUGGUGCUUCCAGCAGAAAGCGGCUUGUCGGGAAGAAGGCGGCUGCCGGAUGAUGCACAGAACGGGAAUAACCAAAAUGACCAACAAACAAGCCAGAUGAUUGUGUGUAGGGGAAGGGGAUCCAUUGCUGUAGUGAACUAUGGAACUGGGAUAUGGAAGCAAAGAACUGCCUUGGACAAUGCAAAUCAGAACUGAGGCAGAGUCAGUCAAGCAUUUUAUUUGGGCUCCUUUUUCCACAGGAAGCUACUGGGAAAGUGGGAAUCUUGGAAGUAGUCAAAGAGAGAUGUUUCUAGGAAGUUUGAAAAUGUUGGGUUGGUUGCUAUCACCUGGACUAUGAUGGACUGACCUUUGUCAGCAAACAGAAUAGCCAUUUACUUUUCUUUUCGAUGUGACUGCUGGGUUUUCUUGUUUGAAUGUGCUGAUCACUACAAUUUUAGUUGGAACAAACCCCUUGUUUUGGUUUUGGUAUGUUACCUUAGAUUUUUUUGAAACAAACUUAUCUUUUGUGUAUCUACAUAUGAGAUCAUGGGUCUUUAUGUCGGACAUCAGUGGUGCAGGAAA